AAGUCUCUUGCCUCGCUCGACCAGCCGCAUUUUUUUACCCCAUCGACUGGUCUUGAGCUGGAUGCACCGGUCCGAAGAAAUAUAGAAAAAGGACCGGCUGUAUGAGACGAGAGUGAAUACCUCGAUGAUGUUUGAGUACGGUUUUAUCCGCCUUUUUUUUCUUUUGGUCUACGGAUAUGGAAUCGUAAUUAAUCUGUCGGGACAUUC
rnacentral:snoRNA from 1 species